rfam:Aedes aegypti strain Liverpool supercont1.510 genomic scaffold, whole genome shotgun sequence.
UGCCCAGCAACUCCUAUCCCUACCUCCUCGCGGUACUGGCCGGGGUACGAGUAACCUUAGGGAAGAUCGGGUAACCAAUUCCCGGUGGGAACUUUGGUCGUAUGCUGACAGGGAAGG